UACCGAGCCCCAAAAGCUAGCCUGCACCUUAAAAAGCAACAAACCACAUCAAUACCCCCAAAUGUACUACCCAUUUGUACAACAAACCAUUUUUCCCCCCAAGUAUAGGAGAUAGAAAAGGACCCACAGCGCAAUAGAAAAAGUACCGCAAGGGAACGCUGAAAAAGAACUGAAAGAACCCAGUAAAGGCAAGAAAAGCAGAGACUAACCCU
rnacentral:rRNA from 1 species